rnacentral:rRNA from 1 species
CCGGACUCCUACGGGAGGCAGCAGUGAGGAAUAUUGGUCAAUGGUCGGGAGACUGAACCAGCCAAGCCGCGUGAGGGAUGAAGGUACAGAGUAUCGUAAACCUCUUUUGUCAGGGAGCAAUGGCGUCCACGUGUGGGCGUAUGGAGAGUACCUGAAGAAAAAGCAUCGGCUAACUCCGUGCCAGCAGCCGCGGUAAUACGGAGGAUGCGAGCGUUAUCCGGAUUUAUUGGGUUUAAAGGGUGCGUAGGCGGGACCUUAAGUCAGCGGUAAAAUUGCGGUGCUCAACGCCGUAGAGCCGUUGAAACUGGGGUUCUUGAGUGAGCGAGAAGUAUGCGGAAUGCGUGGUGUAGCGGUGAAAUGCAUAGAUAUCACGCAGAACCCCGAUUGCGAAGGCAGCAUACCGGCGCUCAACUGACGCUGAGGCACGAAAGUGCGGGUAUCGAACAGGAUUAGAUACCCGUGUACU